AUUGAACGCUGGCGGCAGGCCUAACACAUGCAAGUCGAACGAGUGGCGGACGGGUGAGUAAUGUCUGGGAAACUGCCUGAUGGAGGGGGAUAACUACUGGAAACGGUAGCUAAUACCGCAUACCAUCGGAUGUGCCCCUAUGGGAUUAGCUAGUAGGUGGGGUAACGGCUCACCUGGGCGACGAUCCCUAGCUGGUCUGAGAGGAUUACCAGCCACACUGGAAAUGAGACACGGUCCAGACUCCGACGGGAGGCAGCAGUGGGGAAUAUUGGACAAUGGGAGAAAGCCUGAUCCAGCCAUGCCGCGUGUGUGAAGAAGGUCGUCGGAUUGUAAAGAACUUUAAGUUGGGAGGCGUUACCAACAGAAUAAGCACCGGAUAACUUCGUGCCAGCAGCCGCGGUAAUUC
rnacentral:rRNA from 1 species